rnacentral:rRNA from 1 species
AGCGUUGAGCUUAUACCUAACCAUAAUGUCAAUUUAUAAUAGUUGUAUGUAUUAAUUUAAAAGUUGAUAUAUAUAGCUUAAAGAGGAGAAGACAUUAUGAGUAAGAGGAACGCAAUG